rnacentral:rRNA from 1 species
UGAGAAUAUUGGUCAAUGGUCGCAAGACUGAACCAGCCAUGCCGCGUGCAGGAAGACGGUCCUAUGGAUUGUAAACUGCUUUUAUACAGGAAGAAACCCUCCCACGUGUGGGAGCUUGACGGUACUGUAGGAAUAAGGAUCGGCUAACUCCGUGCCAGCAGCCGCGGUAAUACGGAGGAUCCAAGCGUUAUCCGGAAUCAUUGGGUUUAAAAGGGUCCGUAGGCGGUCUUAUAAGUCAGUGGUGAAAGCCCAUCGCUCAACGAUGGAACUGCCAUUGAUACUGUAAGACUUGAAUGCUUAGGAAGUAACUAGAAUAUGUAGUGUAGCGGUGAAAUGCUUAGAUAUUACAUGGAAUACCAAUUGCGAAGGCAGGUUACUACUAAGUGAUUGACGCUGAUGGACGAAAGCGUGGGGAGCGAACAGGAUUAGAUACCCUGGUAGUCCACGCCGUAAACGAUGGAUACUAGCUGCUCGGCGCAAGUUGAGUGGCUAAGCGAAAGUGAUAAGUAUCCCACCUGGGGAGUACGCACGCAAGUGUGAAACUCAAAUGAAUUGACGGGGUCAUAGCUGUUUCCUG